CCCAACGCGCCCGCGCGGGCGCUGCCGGCGCGGUACGCAGCGCUGCUCACACCGCAGGGCAGGUUCCUCUACGACCUCUUCCUCUACCGCCCCGCCCCCACGCUCCCAGAUGCUCGACCGCACCGGCUCCGCGCCGCAGGCCGGGGAGGGGCCCGCCGGGGAGGAGGAUGGGGACGGGGAGGUGCUCGCCGACGUCGACGCCGCCGAGGUCGACGAGCUGCUCGCCUGCUUCAAGAGGAAAUGGAGUUUCUGUAUUCAAAGCAGUUGAUGAUUAAUUAGAUGUUGCUUCCUGGUCCUCGGGUAGUCAGUGUGGGGGGAUACAGUUUGAAGAUGGUCAAUUAUGUGCCCAUUUUGGUUGGGCAUAUUCCAGUGACAUGACUGGGAAUCAUGGAUCUUGGAUUUUCAGUGCCAUUAACAUUGAUAGUUCCAGCCGCAGAAGAACAUCAGCUGGAUCUCAAUAGGGAACUUAGACCUAGCUGGGGAUGUUCAGGUCCCAACUAGGAGCCUGAGCAUGUUUCGGUCCCAACUAGGAAUGGUUUCUGCUCAUAAGCUUUUGCUGCGCAUCGCCUAUGUCACGGUCGGGCCGAGCGCCGGUGAUGAGGGCGCAAGAUACAGGAGCAUGGCCUUCUUCUCGCGCUGCAGCCUCCGGCUUUGUCCUGCUCGAGGAGGAGGAGGAGCAGGAGGGGCGCACCCAACCACUAAGGUGGCCGUUGUCGAGGGCUUCUUACAUCUGAACCUCGACCUCCACGUCGUCGUUGUCCAGCCACUCAAGUUCAAGGUUUCCCCGUUCCCCUCUCCCCCCUCUCUGUUUGGUUCUUUCUGGUAGUCGUCGAUGUGGUUUCCCACCCAUGCCUCUCUGUUUGCUCUGCUUUGUUGUGGAUGCAGGGAAGGAGAGGUCUCGGCGAGGGCACCAUGGCGGAUGGUCUGGAGCUCGGCGUCAUCUCUACGGGAGGACUGGCUUGUGGAAGUCAUGCAUGAUGCAUCUGACUUGGGCAGAAUUCGAUGAGAAAGAAUUAUAUUGAAGAGUAAUGCAUGCUUCCGUCCUUUAUGGUAGUCGCUUCAGUUUGACCAGACACCUGGCAUGGUGCUUUCUUCCAUAUAUUGUUCUCUCGAAAAAUUUCCUUGUGUAUAGUAUAUUGGAUUCGAUGAUUAUUAUUUUGCCUUCACAGGAUGCUUCAGAAGAUUUUGUUCUUCUUUUAAGGUCGGGAUGACUUUCCAUGCUGUUAUAUACCAUAUAAGAGCUCUCUGGCAGAGAUUACUAUGUUUCACUCCGAAGAAUACAAGAAAAUGGAAGGUACCCAACCUUAGUGCAAGCGUUGUGAACAUAUAUCUGGUCCUCUUGAUUGGACUAUUGGCAGCCUUUUAUUUUGCACAAACUGUUCAUAUAUAUGCAUCUGUUUUUGUAACUACAAAAUGUUGUAAGUGUACUCCAGCGAUGUAUAUAUAUAUUUAUUUACUUUAAGAACAACCUUUCCAUAAAGGAGGUCAUACGCUCCAUACUGACAACACUCGCAAGUAUUUCAACCAUUUAGUAUUUGCGUGUGAGGGAGUAUCCAUGAUUGGAUUGGCAGAGAUCCCCACUUUCGAACCUUUUCCCAUUCAAACUUCAUAUCUCUAGAGCUCCAAUGAAAUUUGGUGAAGAAGAAAGCUUGGUCUUAUGAUGUACUACAUUUUUUAAUGUAACUCUUUGCUUGAAAAAAAUCAUUCCAUAAAGGAGUACACAUUUUUUGUUGUCCUAUGACUAUGUUCAUGAUUUUUCUUUGCACACAAUAAAGGGGUCUUGGCUACACAGUUGAGACCCACAUGUGUGGGAACAUAUUCUUUCCCUGUAGAAUGGUUUCCGUAAAUGAGUUAGCUAGGCUCAGAAUUUUGAGUUGGCCCUUUACAUAAGUUUUAGAUAAAGUUUCAAGGUUUCUUUAGAGUAUUUAUUUGUGUCAUUUGGAUGUACUGUUUGAGAGCAGCUAUCAGUUUAGUUUGCUGUCCCGAAAUAUAUGUUCAUGGGUACAGUAUUUUGAUAUGGGAGAUUAGACCCUAUUAGAGGUGGUAUUAAAAUAAAGUUACAACAUGAAAAUUUUAGAGGUUGUCCUGUAGAUACUUAAAACACAUAUCACUUGUCAGGUUUCGUUCGGUAUAUUAAAUCCUAUGAAAUUAUCAAAGUGGGAUGUACUAUGUUGGACAGAAUUUUAUGUUUGGACUUGGGUGAAUGUAACCAGACUUAUACUCUCAGAUUUUGUCAUAGUUGAUGGUGUGAGGACUUAUAAUGUGAUAAAGUAUAUACGUUGUUGCAACACCUA